AAUGCUCUGAGCAUGCUUCAGUUUCGGGCUCUUGAGUAGUUCUCGCAGCAGCUCUGCUCUCUCCUUCCUCCGGUCCACGAACAUCUGUUGCAACAAAACAGGGCAUGUACUUCAGAAAAUGGCAUAAAGUUCAGUGCAUAUGCAUCUGUAUUGUACAAAAUUAGUACACAUGAUGUACUCCAUGCGCCGCUGUUACACCGAGCCAUGACGAGGUGGUCCAUGUCCAUGGCGUUUCCAUGUCCCGGGAGAUGGAUCGGAGGAGGAGAGAAACUAGGGAGGUGGGGCGGCCAUGGAGACAAAGAGAGGAGGAUAGGAACUAGAGAACAAGGACGGGCAAGCUUCAGCUGGCGUCCAUGGAGACGAACAGGGGAGGAGGAAGAGAGGAACUAGGGAUGGGGAUUGGGGAUUGGGUGAAACUUCAGACUUCUGCACGCCUCAUAUCUCUUCUGCACGUAGGCAAAACCGCUUGCAAAAACCACCAUAAUCAGCGACAUGGGGUGCUUUGCCUGGUUUUGGAUAGUCCAGGGGGUCAAUUAACCGGAAUUAGGGCUGGGGGUGUGGGUUAGCCUGUUUCUGAAACACCAGGGGGUGAUGUGGACUUCUUUCGAGUCCAUCACCGAGUCUCUCUAUCGCCGGAGCCCCGCGGAAGAAAAAUAAUCUCUCGCCGGGGAGGGGCCAAGCACAGCCCCGCCCCUCCCCGCCGUCGACGCUUCUCGAGACCCUUGUGACGGCGAGGAUUUCUGGGCCAGGCACGGCGACCCUUCGCCGGAGCUCGCAGGGGCGCAGCAGCCUUGGUACCGGAUCGGAUCUCGCGAGAUGUUUUUAGACGUGGCGGAACAGAGAGGAGAGGGCACUUCUCUUCUUCUUCAGAUGUGCGGCUCAGCCAAAAUUUGUGUCGGGUCAGAUGUUUGGUGAUACUUUCAAUAAGUCCUUGGACAUCAGAAACUGUAUGGGUUGGUGGGGCCUUGAUUUGUGAGAGCAUGUCGGUGAGAAGCCUCCUCAUAUCUGGAUCUCGAGACACCCGUAGAAAAGCCCGGUACUGGAACUUCCCUCCAUACCGGUGAUAUAAGGUCCUCGCAACUGCUGUCUUGUCAGAAGUUGCAGAUCCAAAGAUGCUUACCACCUUGAGUUCUUUUUCUAUCAAAUUGUCGUCGUGGUCGAAGGCCAGCAGCUUGAUGAGCUUGUCGACAUGGAGUUGGAUGGGAAGUCGGGCCAUGGGGUGGCUGAUACCGGCGCUGGCGGCUUGUGAAUAGUCAUGUUUGCUGGCUUCCGGUGGAGAAAUCUUGAAUCUUUCGCGUCUUUCAUCUACAUCCUCGACACGAGCUAGCAAUGCUAAUAAUUUUGCAAUCAUGAGGCCUCGCUUCAACCUUUUCACUUUUGGCAACGAAACCCAGGUGAGCCUACGGGAAACCCGAAAGAUCUUGGAUCCAAGACGUUUCCCCAAAAAAAUACGGAUCUUACCCCUACCAGUACCGGAGUAUUGGAUGAAGUGCAUGACCUGGUCGGGGUAGUCUGUUUUAUCAUAGCACAGAUCCCGGACCUGCCUCAUCCAGCACCUGGUAAUGCUAUCCUGCGGCGCCUCAAAUAGAUCCUUGCUAAAUCCGUUGCACAAUCCCUUGAGUCCUUGGCCGAGAAACA